rnacentral:lncRNA from 1 species
GGUAGUUCAAUUAGCUUCGAGGGUAAAUUUUUGUUAAUUUGAAAUGGUUUUUAUCAUCAUCUAGGGCAUAUAUAAUUAAGAACAGUAAAGAAUAAUAAUUGUUCUGGAAUUGAGAUGAAGAGCCUAAUUACUAAUUUCAAAUAAUUCAUAUACUACAAAGAGACAUGUGACCUUAAGCCUGAUUCUAUUCAUUGUACAUGUUAUAACUGUAUAAAGUGGAUGUGUUGAUUACAAUAUUACUUUGAACCAUUUGGUUUUCUGUUGAGACUUUUAUCUUGGAUAUUUGGUGCUUCCUGUGAUGUCUUAUUAUGUUACUAUUUUGAGUUAACUCAUAAAAAUAAUAUUUUUGUUAUAAACUAAAGAGAAAUUGGAGAGGGAAUUGAGAUAGAUCAAGCAUAGAGAUCUGAUGUUUCUCAUUGAAUAUUUUCUGUGUAUUUACAAUGAAAUGGUGUGAACCCUUUUGUAGGCAAAUAAUUGGACUAAACUUCCACUUGGAGGAAGCUUCGAGGAAGCUUCAAGUGGGCUCCACCUAAU